ACAUUUUUUCCUUUUUAAUUGUUCAUAAUUUGCUGUCAUUUAAGUAUGGGCAUGUAAACCUGAUUUUUGUGCUGAAUUUGUGUAAAGGCCUGGCUUAAUCUUCUUGUCCCUUGCUAGCAUUAGAUAUUGCUAGCCACUGGCUGCAAAUGUACAGGUAAUUCAUGUCAACUUUGUCUUGUUGUUAUUCUUUAACUCAAAUUUUAUGAUCCUGCAUUUGCUGGUUUGGGGAUGAUGUUCUUUAGCUGCAUUUUAUUAGAUCCUGCAUUUCUCUUCUCUUUUUCAAGCUCCUGCUAACUCCCUUUUUUUUCUUCUUCUAACGUUUGGAUUUUCUAAUUACAGACACAAUUUUUGAUUCUCAGGCACAUACAGCUCGCCAUCUUCUUCAAGCUAAGAGAGGUAUAAUGUUGCUAUGUAUGUGCUCAUGCAUACAAAGAAAGUGGGACUUCUUUGGAAGUAGAGUUUACACGAACUUUGCCAAAAGAACUCAUAUAGAAGUGUCAGGGCAUUAUUUUGGAGAACAAAUUCUGGUCACUACAUUGUUUGGUUCCCACUAUCACAAUGGGCUAAUGACUUUGGUCAACUAGGUGAUAGAACCGAGGAGUGAAGGAAAUAUGUAAAGAAAGUAAAGUCAUUAAAGUCAGAGUUUGUAAAAUCUGUCUUGUAUAAUUCUUAAUUCUCUUAGAAAUUCAUUUUUGUUAAUGCUUGUAAAUUUUAUGUACGCGGCUGUUACAUGUAUACAGAUGACAUUGUUGUAGGCUUUUACCAAGUAUUGAAUGAAAGAACAUAAAUUUGAGU